GGGGGCGUAAAGGUUUCGACAGGAGCGUUGAAGAUCGGGAAGCGAGUAGCGGUGCGGAACCGCUUUAAAAGCCGCAAUUUUUUAAAAUUAAACGACAACAAUAAAGUUGCUCUUGCUGCUUAAUUAAAGCAGCCGUCCAACCCCGAAGUACCGCGGUCGGGGAAGGGCGUCAUUUAGCGGUGAACGUGAAUGCCGGACUGCUCCGUCCGACAUCAUGAUCUUGGAGCUACCGUAGCCAGAAAGCCUGUUGUUCGGCGUUUGGCGAGGGGAAUCUAAAAAGAACAACUGCACUCGGAGAAACCCUUUCGGAGAUACUUUUGGACACGGGUUCAAUUCCCGUCGCCUCCACCA
rnacentral:tmRNA from 1 species